rnacentral:rRNA from 1 species
UACAGAGGGUGCAAGCGUUGCUCGGAUUUACUGGGCGUAAAGCGUACGCAGGCGGUAAGAUAGGUCGGAUGUGAAAGCCCCGGGCUCAACCCGGGAACUGCAUCCGAAACCAUCUUGCUAGAGUAUGGGAGAGGGAAGCGGAAUUCCUGGUGUAGAGGUGAAAUUCGUAGAUAUCAGGAGGAACACCGGCGGCGAAGGCGGCUUCCUGGCCCAUUACUGACGUUCAGGUACGAAAGCGUGGGUAGCAAACAGG